rnacentral:rRNA from 1 species
UAGGGAAUCUUCGGCAAUGGGGGCAACCCUGACCGAGCAACGCCGCGUGAGUGAAGAAGGUUUUCGGAUCGUAAAGCUCUGUUGUAAGAGAAGAACGUGUGUGAGAGUGGAAAGUUCACACAGUGACGGUAACUUACCAGAAAGGGACGGCUAACUACGUGCCAGCAGCCGCGGUAAUACGUAGGUCCCGAGCGUUGUCCGGAUUUAUUGGGCGUAAAGCGAGCGCAGGCGGUUUAAUAAGUCUGAAGUUAAAGGCAGUGGCUUAACCAUUGUUCGCUUUGGAAACUGUUAAACUUGAGUGCAGAAGGGGAGAGUGGAAUUCCAUGUGUAGCGGUGAAAUGCGUAGAUAUAUGGAGGAACACCGGUGGCGAAAGCGGCUCUCUGGUCUGUAACUGACGCUGAGGCUCGAAAGCGGGGGGAGCAAACAGG